GCUUUAUACAUUAUAAAUUCAUCAUAUCCUUUUUUAUUUGUUUCAUGCAAAAGGGAAAAAUAUGGCUAACAUAACUAAGUUUGUUUAUAUUGCCAUCCUCUUUCUUUCACUAUUUUUCAUUGGAAUGAACGAUGCUGCAAUUUUGGAAUGUCGUGAGGACUCUCAUUGUGUAACAAAAAUUAAGUGUGUUCUUCCUCGAAAACCGGAAUGUAGGAAUAACGCAUGUACCUGUUAUAAAGGUGGAUUUAGUUUUCACCACUAAAUACAUUACUCCAACUUACACCAAUAAAAUAACCCUUUGUAGCAACUUACACUGUAGUCAUCAUGAGAUCCAGUCCGUUAGAAUAAAUUUAAAUAUAUAAAUGACUUAUAUUGAAGUGGUGUAAGUUGGAAGAAUGUAUUUGAUAGUCCAAACUAAACUUUACACUUGUUAUAAUUCAAAUAAAUAUCGCUGAAGAUAAAAUGUCACAUGACAUACGAUUUACCUAAUGAUUCGGCAUUCAAUAAUUGAAUUUGUUUUGUAUUUA